AGAAUCAACGCUGGCGGCGUGCCUAACACAUGCAAGUCGCACGAGAAAGGGUAGCAAUACCUGAGUACAGUGGCGCACGGGUGAGUAACACGUGAAUAAUCUACCUCCGAGUGGGGAAUAACUGAGAGAAAUCUUAGCUAAUACCGCAUAACACUUACGAGUCAAAGCAGCAAUGCGCUUGGAGAGGAGUUCGCGGCAGAUUAGUUAGUUGGCGGGGUAAUGGCCCACCAAGACGAUGAUCCGUA
rnacentral:rRNA from 1 species